rnacentral:snRNA from 1 species
GGCUUUGAUCUCAUAGGUCAUUC